rnacentral:rRNA from 1 species
GUUUACGGACAUAUCACUUUGAAAACACCGGUUCUCGUCCGAUCACCGAAGUUAAGCAA